GCCUGGGUGGCUCAGGCGGUUAAGCGUCUGACUUCGGCUCAGGUCACGAUCUUACAGUUCGUGGGUUCAAGCCCCGCGUCGGGCU
rfam:Felis catus isolate Cinnamon breed Abyssinian chromosome D2, whole genome shotgun sequence.